CAGCCAGAGUUGGAAGGGUAGGAGGCCCAGGAGCAGAGUCUGAAUACUGGUAUUGAGAGUGCCCACCAUUAAGAUUUGGAAAUGGCUACAAGUGGUAAGAUAGUCUGAUUCUGGUCAAGAUAAGGUGAAAUCAAACCUCUCAGAGCCCUGGGUCCCAGGAGUGGGAAUCUGAGUUCUUGUGAUGGGAAGAGAAGGAGGAGGAGGAAGAGGAGGAGAAGAGUCAGACUUCAUGAAAAGGAACUAUGAGAACCAGGAGGAAAAGGGAAUUGUAAGAAGAAACAAGAGAAAGAAACAGUAACUAUUAGAAGGAGCCUGAGUUCUGGAAGAGGAAAAAUGAGAUGGAAAAGUAGUCAAGAAAAUGGGAAAAGGAAGAGAAGAUAGGAGAGCCUGGUCUAAGAUGGAGAGGCUUAAAGGUCUGGAAGGGAUGAAAUAUAGAGAACAUGUAGAAAUUGACACUCAUAAAAAUGAAGUCACCUACGGUCACCCAGAGUCUUUCACCUUAGGAAAAAACCUCACCUGCUUCUCCAGGAGAAGAUGCCCAGUAGCCACUAAACAACCAUGCCAGAAUCUUUGCAGUGAGAAGCAGGAAGUUCAAGUGAUUAACUCUGGAGAGUCAAUCUGGCAUCAAGAUACAUGAUGAACUUUGAACUCUCUACCUCUUGACCCAGCUACUUCUCCUCCUUUCUCCUAGUAUUCUCUACAAACGGUCCUAGAAUCUGAGUCCCAAAGCACCAGUAGCUGAUGGACUUUGGAAGAGCAUCUCCAUCUCCAUGGAUCAUUUCCUGAGUAGAAUCAAACAAGGCUCAUCACUUUAAGUCACUCUGGGCAAGAUUCUACUGCUCCUCAAAUUCCCAGACAUCUGUUGUAACUACAUCUGGAUGGAAGUUGGAACUAAAUGGUCUCAAGAAGUCAUCUCUUCACUUAGGCCAGCACAAAUUAUAGGGGCCUUUCAGGGUUUUCUUAUGGUUUAGAGUUAGUCCUCAAAGGGAUGUAUAUAAAGCAGAACUUUUUUUAAAUGAUGGAAGUCAGAGGGAAAGCAUGAAGGGUACAAUGGUCAACCAAAGUCUGCUUGGAUUGUCAUAUUAAUUAUGUUUUUCUCUUUCCCAAUAUAAGAAUUCAAAGAUUCACAGAACUUCAGAAUUGGAAGAGGCCUCAACAGCCAUUCAGAGUACAUCACACGAAAUGCCAGCCUGGUGAAUCAGAAGCCAGAAUUAAGGUUUCCAGAAGAAAUACACACAAGAAGAUGGUGGCACAGUGAGUGGGGUGUUAGAAAGUUGAAGAAUGCUAGCAUCUUAAAAAUAAGGUAAAGAAACAAGAAAGAUUUAAAAAAACAAUAUUCAGGGGUCAGGAAGAGACUAGUCUGAAAUGAAAAAGAGUAGAAGGAGAUAAGUUGGAGUCAAACUAUUGGGGAGGGGGAGUUGUGCAUAAAACAGAAUGUUUUAAAAAUGGGAGGGCAGUGAGAAUGACCCAGAGGAAGGUGUCAGGCUAAAGGGUGUGAACUUUAUCAUAUAGGCAAGUUAUGCAGAUUUCGGCAAGGCAUCUAACUUCUCUGAACUUUAGUCCCCCUAUCUACAAAAUGGGAUUGAUACUGGCCAUGCCAACCUCAUGGAGACAGUUAUAAAGAUCAAAUGAAAAUGAAUGUGAAAUAGCUUUGUAACCUUAUGUCAUUCUUUGAAUAUAGUUUAUCUUCAUCAACUUCAAAUAAGCUGUCAUCACCAUUAUUAUAUCAACACUAUUAUUGGACUUAUAUCUAGAUGCCCAUAUCAGUGUCCAUCCAAAGGACUUGAAUGUCUAUGUGUUGAGGAAAUUUUACCUUCUUCCUACCAAACACAAAUUCAGAGACUGAAUCUACUGGAGAAUCGCCAUCACACAUUCUGGGGUCUCCGGUCUCAUAUCAGCUACCUCCCUUCAUUGCCAGAGGUCUCUAGUUGUCUCUCCUGCCGUGAGGAAGCCCAGUACCCUGUGAUUAGGAUGUCUCAAGACAGAUACCUCUGGCCCCUGGGGAAGAGUCAGGACGAUGACAGAGAGGCCCUGUUUACAGAAGGCAGGGGUCGAACGCUGCUCAAGGACUUUGUUUAAAAUUCUUUUUGUAACCACAUAGCUCUGUGUUUGGGUUUGCUGUUCUCAUUAAAUAAACAGCUGGAGAGUCCUCAUGGAUCAUCCCAGAUGUGAGUGAGUAGCAUUUGGGAGGAUAAUUAACAUCGUGCUCUGGCCAAACCAGAAGAUUCCCAAGGAUGAUGCUGUGAGGGCAUAUAUGGAUGGCCAAGGAGGAUGAAAGGUCAAUCAACCACAGUGUCAAAUAUUCACAAGCAGGCCCAGAAGCAGUGACCCUUCACAUCUUCUCUUCUUGCAAAAUUAUCUGCCCUACGCACAGAUUUCCACACAUUACUUGUGAAAGAGGUCUACGUCAGUGAGAGAAGUUAGAUCCAAAGGAAGAGAGAAAAGAAAAAGCUUUAGAGGUUCUGACGUGGAGGGAGGAGUUGGAUAUAGAAAGAGAAUAAGAACAUGUUAUCUUAAACUUGUCUAAGAAUCAGUAAGUCAGGUUACGACAAUUAUGUGCAGAUACCUGUGUCCUCUUGCAUUUC